GAUGAACGCUAGCGGCAGGCCUAACACAUGCAAGUCGAGGGGUAGAGGAAGCUUGCUUCCUUGAGACCGGCGCACGGGUGCGUAACGCGUAUGCAAUCUGCCUUGUACUGAGGGAUAGCCCAGAGAAAUUUGGAUUAAUACCUCAUAGCAUUAUGAAAUCGCAUGGUUUUAUAAUUAAAGUUCCAACGGUACAAGAUGAGCAUGCGUCCCAUUAGUUAGUUGGUAAGGUAACGGCUUACCAAGACGAUGAUGGGUAGGGGUCCUGAGAGGGAGAUCCCCCACACUGGUACUGAGACACGGACCAGACUCCUACGGGAGGCAGCAGUGAGGAAUAUUGGUCAAUGGACGCAAGUCUGAACCAGCCAUGCCGCGUGCAGGAUGAAGCAUCUAUGGUGUGUAAACUGCUUUUGUACGGGAAGAAACACUCCUACGUGUAGGAGCUUGACGGUACCGUAAGAAUAAGGAUCGGCUAACUCCGUGCCAGCAGCCACCGUAACAC
rnacentral:rRNA from 1 species